rnacentral:snoRNA from 1 species
AAGCCUGUAGUCCUAGCUACUGGGGAGACUGAGGCAAGAUUACUUGAGCCCAGGAGUUGAAUACAGCAGUGAGCUGAGACCAUGCCACUGCAUUCCAGGCUGGGCAACAGAG